GUGCAGCAAGCACAGCAGCGCCGCCACAACAGGACACUCUCCAGCUUCAUCCACCAGCGCUGACUAGCAUUCCUACUGAAAGGGACCCUCCAGGAGAGUGUACCAGCGGGCUCACGGUGCCGAGGAUACAGACUUGAUAAAGGGGUCCUGAGUACCCCGAAACGCG